CCUAAAUCCUUAAAAAAAAAAAAAAGUAAACCCUAAAAAGAGUACACUCAAAAUCGCGGCUCUCACUUGUACCAUCUUCAAUUCAAUGGCGGAUUCAGUGAUAUCGUUGAACAAAGUCAAAGCUUUCUGGAAUUCUCAGGUCCAUGAUGAGGAAAAGUGGAAUCUCAACAUGAAACUGCUUCGAGCUUCAGCACUCUUUGCAGGUUCCAUCAUUUUGAUGCGCCAAUAUGGUGAUCUCAUGGCUAUCUGAGGAGCCAUGGAUAUACAUUCUCAAGGUCACGUUUCCAGUUGGACGAUGACCUAAAAUCUCAGAUCACCUCUUUUUCUAAAUUGCUUUCAGUGCUGUAGGUGCAAACGAGAGAGCCUUUUGUUUAAAUGUGCAAAAGAGUUGGAAAGAUUGCAACGAGAUUUAAAAACACGACCAUGUGGAUUUGUAGUUUGUGGAAAUUCAUACUAGAUCGAAAAGUUUGUGCAGUUUAUAGAUGAAUGGGAUAAAUGUGGAUUGUAGUUCCAACAAUCCGACGAAUGUUUUAUCCUUUAAACACUACUCCUUCUGUCUCACAAUAGGUGAACAAUUUACUUUUUUAUUUUGGUCCAAACUAAGUGUCCAUUUGUAUAAUCAAGACAAAAUUCAAUUUGUUUUUUCAAAAUUACCCUUAUGUAUGUAUCCCUAAAAAGUCUUUUAUUCUUCA